AUUUGGCAACAGAAGUCUUUUGAGCUUUCCACGCUAUUACGAAAGGUUGAUGCUUACGGCUCUCUCUCUCAUGCACUAGUCCUCUCCGAACUGCCGACAAUUAUACAGAAGGGAUUGCAAGGGAUAUUGAUUCGAGGUGUCUGAUGCUACAUGCUAUUGGCAACUGUGAUUUCCCCGAACUUCCAUGCAAGUUGAGAGUUGAAUGGAAUCUACAAUCCCUUACGAUAUUUUUGUCAGCAUGCAGCAUUGUUGAUAUUUAAUUCUAUACCAGAACCCUUAGUUUGCUAUGACAUUAUUAAUUGUUACUACAUAUUAAAAAAAAAAAUCUUGGAUAUAGUGUUAUGUAUUUAAAA